GAUGAACGCUAGCUACAGGCUUAACACAUGCAAGUCGAGGGGUAACGAGAGGAAAGCUUGCUUUCCUUGUCGACGACCGGCGCACGGGUGAGUAACGCGUAUCCAACCUGCCCCCAACUAGGGAAUAACCUUGCGAAAGUAAGACUAAUACCCUAUAAUUUCCUCAGAUGUCAUCUGACGAGGAAUAAAGAUUUAUCGGUUGUGGAUGGGGAUGCGUCUGAUUAGCUUGUUGGCGGGGCAACGGCCCACCAAGGCAACGAUCAGUAGAGGUUCUGAGAGGAAGGUCCCCCACAUUGGAACUGAGACACGGUCCAAACUCCUACGGGAGGCAGCAGUGAGGAAUAUUGGUCAAUGGGCGGAAGCCUGAACCAGCCAAGUAGCGUGCAGGAUGACGGCCCUAUGGGCUGUAAACUGCUUUUAUACAGGAAUAAAGUUAGCCACGUGUGGUUAUUUGUAGGUACUGUAUGAAUAAGGACCGGCUAAUUCCGUGCCAGCCGCCGCAGUAA
rnacentral:rRNA from 1 species